UACGAAGGUGGCAAGCGUUAUCCGGAAUUAUUGGGCGUAAAGAGCUCGUAGGCGGUUUGUCGCGUCUGCCGUGAAAGUCCGGGGCUCAACCCCGGAUCUGCGGUGGGUACGGGCAGACUUGAGUGCAGUAGGGGAGACUGGAAUUCCUGGUGUAGCGGUGAAAUGCGCAGAUAUCAGGAGGAACACCGAUGGCGAAGGCAGGUCUCUGGGCUGUAACUGACGCUGAGGUACGAAAGCGUGGGGAGCGAACAGG
rnacentral:rRNA from 1 species